AGCAAACCUCCCCAAAUCCAACACUUCCAGCAUGUCCAAACUGGGAAACAGGCGGCAGAGUAACACGGGGCAAGACGCCUAAAGGAGCCUGUUUGUGUGCUGUGUGGCCACGUUCUGCUGUGACUGGAUCUUGUCUUCUGCCUGGCUCCUCGAUUUCCGUCCGGCUGGAUUUGGGGACAACACUGCCUGGCGCAGACAGAUCAAAUGACACUUCAAAGAAGCAUAAAAUGAACAGACUAUUCAAACAAAGACCGGGGCAGCAGUACGCCAGCAAGAGGGCAUGCUCUGCCCGCCUAGAAGUCCUAAGAAAUCGAGGAUCUCCCUUAAAACAUUCACAUACAAGAUAUGUGCAAUCAAGCUGCCUGCACUUGGUAAAAAAGAUCAUGAUGCCUAACCCAAUGAUCCGGAGCAGAUCUUUGAAUCAGCUGUCACUUCUAUAGAAUGGGAUUUCCCCCUUCUUCCUCUUUAACCAGCGUUGGAAACUGCCGAUGGCUUUAUACAUCUCAGUAGAGGAAGGCUAAAGAAUCUUCCGUGAGAAUGAAGCAAUUUACAAUGCAAAUAGAGGCCUGUGAAGAGAAGGACACUGCUGCUCACCCCCAACAGCUUGCUGCACCUUAGUCUCUGGUCUUAAUUUCUGAUACUCAUAGAUGAAUUGUUGGCUAACGAUACUGGAGAUUACUUGCUGGAAGGGGAAAAGUUUGGAAUAAACUCUGAAUGCAACAGA
rnacentral:lncRNA from 1 species